rnacentral:rRNA from 1 species
ACUCAAAGGAAUUGACGGGGACUUGCACAAGCAGUGGAUUAUGUGGUUCAAUUCGAUGGCAAACGAAGAACCUUACCAAGGUUAGAAAUCCAAACGAAGACAUUGGGAAACCAUUGUCGUCUCACAAGGACGGUUGGACAGGUGAUGCAUGGCCGUCGUCAGUUCGUGGUUUGAAUUGUUCCCUUAAGUGGGGUAACGAACGCAACCCUCGUCGCGUGUUAUAAGUGUCACGCGAGACUACCCACGACAGAGAUCGGAAAUUUUUCCUGUUUCUGUCGUGGGGGGAAGGCGAGGAUGACGCCAGGUCAGCAUGUCCCUUUGAUAUCUUGGGCUACACACAUAAUACAAUCGCCAUUACAACGCGACGCAAUACCGCAAGGUGGAGCUAAUCGUAAGAAAAGUGGCGCCAGUUCGGAUUGAGGUCUGCAACUCGACCUCAUGAAGCCGGAAUUGCUAGUAAUCGCGGGUCAGCUAUACCGCGGUGAAUACGUUCUCAAGUCUUGUACACACCGCCCGU